AUAUAUUUUGGUCCACACCACUGGAGACUUGGAGAACCUGGGCCGAGUUUCCUAUGGGAGGCCAGGCAGUGGGGGAAAUUUUGGACAAUUGGAGGGAAAGCCUGAUUCCCAGCCCAUGCCCGCGGGAAGUGAAAGAAAGGCCUUUCAGGUGUAAAGCUUCUUUCAAGGUGGAAAAGAAAAUAGGUUACGGAUAAAUUCCCUGUAGCUUAUGACCGUACCAUCAGGAAGAAGCACCGGCUACUACGUGCCAGCAGCCGCGGUAAUACGUAGGGUGCGAGCGUUAAUCGGAAUUACUGGGCGUAAAGCGUGCGCAGGCCGGUUUUGUAAGACAGACGUGAAAGCCCCGGGCUUAACCUGGGAACCGGCGUUUGUGACUGCAAGACUAGAGUAUGGCAGAGGGGGGUAGAAUUCCACGUGUAGCAGUGAAAUGCGUAGAGAUGUGGAGGAAUACCGAUGGCGAAAGGCAGCCCCCUGGGUCAAUACUGACGCUCGUGCACGAAAGCGUGGGGAGCAAACAGGAUUAGAUACCCUGGUAGUCCACGCCCUAAACGAUGUCAACUAGGUGUUGGGGGAGGAGACUUCCUUAGUACCGCAGCUAACGCGUGAAGUUGACCGCCUGGGGAGUACGGCCGCAAGGUUAAAACUCAAAGGAAUUGACGGGGACCCGCACAAGCGGUGGAUUAUGUGGAUUAAUUCGAUGCAACGCGAAAAACCUUACCUACCCUUGACAUGCCAAGAAGUUCUCAGAGAUGGGAUCGUGCUCGAAAGAGAACUUGGACACAGGUGCUGCAUGGCUGUCGUCAGCUCGUGUCGUGAGAUGUUGGGUUAAGUCCCGCAACGAGCGCAACCCUUGUCAUUAGUUGCUACAUUCAGUUGGGCACUCUAAUGAGACUGCCGGUGACAAGCCGGAGGAAGGUGGGGAUGACGUCAAGUCCUCAUGGCCCUUAUAGGUGGGGCUACACACGUCAUACAAUGGCUGGUACAAAGGGUUGCCAACCCGCGAGGGGGAGCUAAUCCCAUAAAGCCAGUCGUAGUCCGGAUCGUAGUCUGCAACUCGACUACGUGAAGUCGGAAUCGCUAGUAAUCGUGGAUCAGAAUGUCACGGUGAAUACGUUCCCGGGUCUUGUACACACCGCCCGU
rnacentral:rRNA from 1 species